ACAUGCACUUGUUCGCUUGACCCUAUAACGAGAGCGUCUCGCGGUCAGAGUUAGUGCUUUAGCACUUACUCUGAGCUCGCCCCCUUGCGGGGCAGACACUUUAUACGCUACAGGUUUGAGUUCUCGCGUUGUGCCGUAUUCCAAGUGACGUUAAGAUCACUUAAAUACUUUGGAUACAAUCACUACCCAUCGAUAUCUUCCACGUCCAUCUCAAGACGCUUCCAAUAUCCAUUACUACUUCUUCCAGAUUGUUAAAGAUCGACAGCCGACUCACUACUUCAGUCGCUCUGACUGGCUCAAUCGCCAAUGCAAAAUACUCAGGGCUGAAUACUUGGCAUUGAAGAUUGUCCCCCUUCGGGGAUCGCCCCCCUCGCAAGCGCUCAAGCGCUAACGAUGGCGGGGAUGGUGGAGGCAGACGGGCAUCGAACCGACGACCCCCUGCUUGCAAAGCAGGUGCUCUCCCAGCUGAGCUAUGCCCCCAUACAGAGACUGCUCAGGUUUCUUGCGCCAGACAAUUGGUGGGUCUGGUUGGAUUCGAACCAACGACCCCCGCCUUAUCAAGACGGUGCUCUAACCGACUGAGCUACAGACCCCUGAGUCUGUCUUGAUCUACAGCCGAUAAGCUGUGGGCGCUUAACGUUGAACACGUAAGCUCGAGAAAGGAGGUGAUCCAGCCGCACCUUCCGA
rnacentral:tRNA from 1 species